CUUAUAUUUAUGUGUUUAUUUCUUCCAUAAAGAUGAAAGAACAUUUAGCAACAUUUGUGCUAAAACUUUUUGUUGGUAUCUGGUGAGGUUGGUGAAGCUGGCUCGCCUUGUCCUUCUUAGAAGACUGUAUAUCCAUGCUUCUGCAGCAAUUUAGCGGACGGCAGCAGUCUCGUUAUAUGGCCCGGGAAUUAAGAAUACUUCAGAAUUAGAGCAGGUUACAUCAAAGCCCUUGAAGAGCCUUUUUGUGGAUCGACUGUUAUUACUAAACACUUUUAACUCCAAUGAAAAAGAUAAUUCAACGCUAAAUGCAUUAGAACAAAAAAUAAAAAUUCCCAUUGGUGAUAUUCUACCUAAAAAAUGGCUUGCCGAGCUUCGUGUCAGAGAACUCAAAAUCCAAAAUGGUGACAUAGACGGCUGCUUCUUAUGCGAUGAAGCACUUGAAGGCCAGAGGGAUUUCUUAACUGCUCUGGUAGUCAAGAAUGCUAAUCUGAAAUUUUUACCUUAUGUCUGCAUAACCUGCAUGUAUUCCAUUCGUCUUCCUACUACCGAUAGGAAAAAUUACAGUUACGUGAGAGAUUUGGAAUACUGAAGUUCAUAUGAAUGUUGAAUACUGGGAACAAAUCCGGCAUUCUGUCAU